rnacentral:rRNA from 1 species
UUAAACUAGGGAUUAGAUACCCUAUUAUUUUGAGUGUUAAUGUUUUUGCCUGAGUAGUAUUAGUUGUGUUCUUGAAACUUAAAGAAUUUGGCGGUAUCCUAUUCCGUUCAGAGGAAUCUGUCUCGUUAUCGAUAGUCCGCGUUGGACCUUACUUAGAGUUAUAUUUUUUGUUUGUAUACCGCCGUUUAUUGAUUAUCUUUUUAGAGUUCCUUAAUUUUCUGGUUUCUUUAAUUUGAUUUAUUGCAGGUCAAGGUGCAGCUUUUUCUAAGUGUAAUGAUGGAUUACAGUGUUAUGUGUUGUUUGGAUUGUUUAUUUUAAUAUUGACAUGAAAUUGGAUUUGGUUGUAAUGUCUUGUAGAUUGUUUUCAUGAUAGUUGGUUCUAGGAUAUGUACACAUCGCCCGUCGCUUUCCAAU